rnacentral:rRNA from 1 species
AGUGGUUAGGGGAUUUACUAAACUAGAGCCGAACGCUUUCAGAGCUGUUAUACGCACCCGAAAGUAUGAAACCCAAUUACGAAAGUAGCUCUACUCAUCCUGAACCCACGAAAGCUAAGAAACAAACUGGGAUUAGAUACCCCACUAUGCUUAGCCCUAAACAUCGAUUGCACUAUACACUCCAUAUCCGCCCGGGAAUUAUGAACGUCAGUUUAAAACCCAAAGGACUUGGCGGUGCUUAACAUCCACCUAGAGGAGCCUGUUCUAGAACCGAUAACCCCCGUUAAACCUCACCCUCUCUUGUUUUAUCCGCCUAUAUACCACCGUCGUCAGCUUACCCUGUGAAGGCUUUACAGUAAGCAAAAUUGGCACAGCCCAAAACGUCAGGUCGAGGUGUAGUGAAUGAGGGGGGAAGAAAUGGGCUACAUUUGCUAAACAUAGCAAACACGAAUGUUGCAUUGAAACAUGCAACUGAAGGAGGAUUUAGCAGUAAGCAGGAAAUAGAGCGUCCCGCUGAAACUGGCCCUAAAGCGCGCACACACCGCCCGUCACCCUCCCCAAGCCCCCUGAACUAAACUAAUUAAAACCCAACAACCCGCGAAGGGGAGGAAAGUCGUAA